CACAAAUCUACCUAACUCUAUGGGUACAACACAUAAAUCUACCUAACUCUAUGGGUACAACACAUAAAUCUACCUAACUCUAUGGGUACAACACAUAAAUCUACCUAACUCUAUGGGUACAACACAUAAAUCUACCUGUUGGGCCUGUUUCCCAGAUACAGAUUAAGCCUAAUUCUGGACAAUUUCAAUUUGUUUAACUAGGCAAGUCAGUUAAGAACAAAUUCUUAUUUACAAUGACGGCCUACCGGGAAACAGUGGGUUAACCGCCUUGUUCAAGGGCAGAACGAGAGAUUUUUACCUGGUCAACUCUGGGAUUCGAUCCAGCAACCUUUAGGUUACUAGUCCAAUGUUCUAAUCACUAGGUUACCUGCACCUAAAACACUUUUUCAAUGGAACUUCUCCUCGACAAGGACUGUGUGUCUGGGGAUCCGGUCCUAUAACUAGGACUGUGUGUCUGGGGAUCCGGCCCUAUAACUAGGACUGUGUGUCUGGGGAUCCAGUCCUAUAACUAGGACUGUGUGUCUGGGGAUCCGGCCCUAUAACUAGGACUGUGAGUCUGGGGAUCCGGCCCUAUAACUAGGACUGUGUGUCUGGGGAUCCGGUCCUAUAACUAGGACUGUGUGUCUGGGGAUCCGGUCCUAUAACUAGGACUGUGUGUCUGGGGAUCCGGUCCUAUAACUAGGACUGUGUGUCUGGGGAUCCGGUCCUAUAACUAGGACUGUGUGUCUGGGGAUCCGGUCCUAUAACUAGGACUGUGUGUCUGGGGAUCCGGUCCUAUAACUAGGACUGUGUGUCUGGGGAUCCGGUCCUAUAACUAGGACUGUGUGUCUGGGGAUCCGGUCCUAUAACUAGGACUGUGUGUCUGGGGAUCCGGCCCUAUAACUAGGACUGUGUGUCUGGGAAUCCGGCCCUAUAACUAGGACUGUGUGUCUGGGGAUCCGGUCCUAUAACUAGGACUGUGUGUCUGGGGAUCCGGCCCUAUAACUAGGACUGUGUGUCUGGGGAUCCGGUCCUAUAACUAGGACUGUGUGUCUGGGGAUCCGGCCCUAUAACUAAAAUAACAUAAUCUGGGACUCUGUGCCAUUCAUACAAACUCUGAUAAGGUUAUCGAAUGAAUCAAUAUGGUGUAAGAGUGAAUGAAUCAAUAUGGUGUACGAGUGAAUGAAUCAAUAUGGUGUACGAGUGAAUGAAUCAAUAUGGUGUAAGAGUGAAUGAAUCAAUAUGGUGUAAGAGUGAAUGAAUCAAUAUGGUGUACGAGUGAAUGAAUCAAUAUGGUGUAAGAGUGAAUGAAUCAAUAUGGUGUAUGUAAGAAUGAAUCAAUAUGGUGUAAGAGUGAAUGAAUCAAUAUGGUGUAAGAGUGAAUGAAUCAAUAUGGUGUAAGAGUGAAUGAAUCAAUAUGGUGUACGAGUGAAUGAAUCAAUAUGGUGUAUGUAAGAAUGAAUCAAUAUGGUGUAUGUAAGAAUGAAUCAAUAUGGUGUAAGAAUGAAUUGCGUUUUUUCACUUUUGGUACAGUAUGUUAUGUUGGGCUAUAUGGUCCCUACUUCGUCUAAGGGAAAUGACGAUAUUCAUUUGCCUCGAACUCUAGGACCUGGGUUAGUGUACUGUUGUUGUCUUUACACUGGUUAAUAUCAUAGAGAAAAGCCCCAACUGUCCUGGUGCAAAACAUGGCAAUGAGGUAAAGCAAUAAAAACAUCUUUCCACCACAGAUCAACAAUCAUAAGAGGGAGGGACUACUAAUCUAAUCUCACAGAGCCAGACGAGAGGCUCAGAAUCUGGUAUGAUAAGGUACAGGGCUGCCCAGCCCUCUUCCUAGAGAUCUACUGGUCCUGUAGGUUUUCAGUCCAACCCUCUUCCUGGAGAUCUACUGGUCCUGUAGGUUUUCAGUCCAACCCUCUUCCUGGAGAUCUACUGGUCCUGUAGGUUUUCAGUCCAACCCUCUUCCUGGAGAUCUACUGGUCCUGUAGGUUUUCAGUCCAACCCUCUUCCUGGAGAUCUACUGUCCUGUAGGUUUUCAGUCCAACCCUCUUCCUGGAGAUCUACUGUCCUGUAGGUUUUCAGUCCAACCCUCUUCCUGGAGAUCUACUGUCCUGUAGGUUUUCAGUCAAGGUCUGGUACAAUAUAUUAGAACAAACCAACUCUGUAGCAGUAAAGUCUGACAUGCGACAUUAGGAGGCGACAAGAUCUUUGAUACAGUUUGGAACAUCUACUAUGUUUUACUCCAUUGUUGAAGGUUGGGAACGAGGCUUUUCAGAACAACAACAAACUCACUGUCCACAGCACAUCUGAAACUAGACCUACACUUUGUUCAUUAUAAUGGUAAAUUGCUUGGUUCAGACAAAAGGGUGAUUAUUGGGUUACUAAAAGGCAGUAGAACAGAGAUCCUCCAUUUCAGGAGGGGAAAAAACCUACCGAGAUGUCUGUGAAUAACUUUAAAUGCAAAUGGAACCAAUUCUGGGGAUGAUUCCACCAACUAGCUGACAUAUGUUCUGUUCGAUCCCUAGUUAUGAAAAUAACAGGACACGACUUGACAGAUAUCAUCGUCGUCUACAAGCAGUGGUGGGGACAGAUAGAUGAGGAUAGAGGAGAGAGAGAGAGAGAGGGGGGACAGACAGGUCCAGCCUGGAACUGUCUGUAGUUGCCAGUCUCGCCUGUAUCCCCAUACAUCCCUGGAGUUUAGUCCACUGUCUGUUCUCUGCAGAAAUAGUGGCAGAGGUUGAGCUCUUGAUCCAUCUCUGGUCUGAACAGCUGGGCGUGACAAUUGGGAGAUGUUACCCCAAAUCUGGAUGUGUCUCACGUGAAGAGCUGCGGUCUGGACAUUUCCCCACGAAGUCUGGCACUCGUUCACUUCGCAUCUGUUUAGGGAUUUGAGUCACAAAUGAGAGAAUGACAAAGUAUGUAGCUAGUAGCUGGUAGCUAGCUACAUAUCAUUAUGAUAUGGCUGAGAAGACCUUUGUCAAAUGCUGGACAGGUUGUUGCACUGUCAGAGAUGAUCUUGUCUGGAAGCUGGAGAGGCAGCCUGUGGAUGGACAAACAUACAUACCCCAUUCAAAAUAUAGCUAGGACAUUUAUUUAUAUAUAUAAAUAUAGCUAAG
ensembl:lncRNA